AGUGAACGCUGGCGGUAGGCCUAACACAUGCAAGUCGAACGGCAGCACAGUAAGGGCUUGCUCUUACGGGUGGCGAGUGGCGGACGGGUGAGGAAUACAUCGGAAUCUACUUUUUCGUGGGGGAUAACGUAGGGAAACUUACGCUAAUACCGCAUACUACCUACGGGUGAAAGCAGGGGAUCUUCGGACCUUGCGCGAUUGAAUGAGCCGAUGUCGGAUUAGCUAGUUGGCGGGGUAAAGGCCCACCAAGGCGACGAUCCGUAGCUGGUCUGAGAGGAUGAUCAGCCACACUGGAACUGAGACACGGUCCAGACUCCUACGGGAGGCAGCAGUGGGGAAUAUUGGACAAAGGGCGCAAGCCUGAUCCAGCCAUGCCGCGUGGGUGAAGAAGGCCUUCGGGUUGUAAAGCCCUUUUGUUGGGAAAGAAAAGCAGCAGGUUAAUACACGGCUGUUCUGACGGUACCCAAAGAAUAAGCACCGGCUAACUUCGUG
rnacentral:rRNA from 1 species